GAGAGCUUGUGGUGUGAAGCCACAAUAGUGCUUUUGUUAUUUUGUUAAAAUAACAAGCGGCAGCAGAUACUUGAUCUGCCCAUAUAUGUCAUACUGCCCUACCAGUCAACCGUUGUCCACAAAAUGGUUACAGCUUGGAGCAGCUGCUUCAGACAAGCAGGUUCGGGGGAGCAUAAACCUUGUGUGCUAGGACUCAAGGGCUCAACUCUUCCCAGAGAACCAAACAAGGUUGUACCUCCAACACCUCAACUGGACUAGCCCAGUCAGAUUCCAAAUCCAACUAAUCCAAGCAACUUUAUUGACCAAUUGCCUUGAAUAUUCCUCACAACAGCUCAAUUGAUGGUCCCCAGCAAAAAACAAGAGGAGGAGAAAUAUAUAUACAGUAUAAACCUGGCCGGGAGGAAAGACACAUAUAAUGGAUUCUACUUUCUCCAUCAAGCAGCACCCCAAAUUGGACUAUUGAAAAGGAAUAUUAUUAAAUCUUCCAAUCGUUAUGUUGGUAAAACAUCAGCUAAAAUAAACUCUGGUGAGUAGAACAUAAAAUGAUAGCAAGUGUCUUCUGAACAAAUCCAACUUUAAAAGGACAUAACUAUAGCUUAAAUUUUCCUCUAGAUCUGCAUAAAAAGUUUGCUGUUUUAGCUCAGAAAGAUUUACUUGACCCCAAUAAAGGUCAGAUAGUGGUUGAGUAAACUGCACAAUUCUAGCUUCAAAUUAGAACCUGUCAUUUAUGAUCCACCUUUCUAAGACUACAUUUGAAUAUUCUAUGAUUCUAAAUAAUGAACACAACAUUUCUUUAUUCUAUAAAAGAAAUUGAUCAAUAUACUGCCCUCACACAUAUUAAAAGCUGAAGUCUGUUUAGGUAAGAGUGAAGAUAGAGUAAGAAAGGUAUUUGUUCCCUAAAUUGGCUGCGAAUAGUAAGUUUUGAUUGGACAAAAAAGGAUGAAUGAGAGAUCAAAAUUGCGACAUGGAAAAGGCUUUAAACUUCUACAAGGUCCCAUGAUUUGGUUUCUACCGGUUCACCCCAGUUCGGGCAAACCUUGUGGUGGCGGCGGUGGGAAACUUCGCCCACCUGCCCAGACAUCAUCACGGAUGCUCUGCACAUGCACAGACAGUUCUGCGCAAGUGCAGAAGCGCUACGUGUGAGCAAAGAGAGCCCACACACAUGUGCGCUCCUGAUCCCAAACCGAUAGCAAAGGUAAGUGGAACCCACUACUGAUUUGAGGCCCCUGUUUAUGGAAGUAGUAGACAGACAAACCUGCUCAAAUUGGAAUUCUCACUUGUGUGGGAAAAUAAUGAACAUGGCAGAGGAUGCGAAUCACUGCAAAUGCUGAAAUGCCUAAAAACCUUGCUUUCACCUUCUUCUCCUGCUUGUUCUUUCUCAGCCGGAAGAGAAAACUAAAAAACAACCAGGUUAUAACAUUUUUUCUUGUUUCUUAUGAAGGAAUAAUGAAUGAGAAAAAAACAGAAAAAACAGAAAACAGAAAAAUACAGAAACUGUUCUAAGAGGUCAUUAAUUGUAUGUUUAUAAUUAAUUUGGUUCAUGUUACUUUUUGUUCACAUAGUUUUCUCUGUCAGUUGUUUUGCUUCUAGUUGUUGCAAUUGUUUAUCUUGCUGCCAGUAACACAUAUCGUGUGCAUGCUAGCUGGGAAAUUUUGUGACACAUCUUAAAAUUACCAAGUUUAAAAAACACUGUACUAAGUAAAAAUAAUUCCCAAUACAUUAGUCUUGUUUUAUAGUCUACGCGAAUUCUAAUAUAGAAGGAUUUAUUACUCCAGGCUUCUGUUAAAGUAAUAUGGCAAAGACAAAGUAAUAUGGACGUAAUAGGUAUAUUGUUAAUAAGAGUAAUAAAUUAUAUUGUACAAGGAUGAGUUUAUUAUGAUUCUAUGUUGUAUAUUCAUAAUUUAUCUCAUUUUCAGUAAAAAUAAAUUUAAUGGGUUCAGCACAGGAGAAAGCACAAUCAAUGGGAAGCAUGCAAAGUAAUUGAAAGAAAUAUCAGGAACAUACGGCAUUAUUUGAUUCAUGAAUACUACUCAAAUUAUAAAGGACAAUAACAGAUCCAGCUACCUUAACUUUUGUUUUUUCUCACUUCUACUGCUUUAGGAGGCUAUGAAGAAGGGACUCAUUUGGCUAAAUUAGUCAGGAGUCAGAACUUCGGCAACCUCUUAUUUUUAUUCAUAAUUCAAACAAGAACAAGGAAAACAUCUCUCUGUUGGCCAUUAAGUAGCUAUUACAUCUGGAUUGCAGAAAUGCAAAAGACCACAAGAUGGCAGCAAAGAACCAUAAAAAUUAAUUAUUUGCUGCCAUAUGGUGCUUGCCUAGAGGUUGCAGGGAGAAAACACUACAUACCCAUGAUGGCGAACUUAUGGCACGUGUGCCACAGGUGGCACUCAGCAUCUUCUCUGUGUGCACACAAGCCAUCACCCCAGUUCAGCUCUGCCACACAUACAUGCAUGCCUCCUGCAGGCCAGCUGGUUGUCGGGUCUCUGCUGCGCAUGUGCAAGGUGCACACAGGGGCCAUACAAGCAUCACAGUGCGGGGUGCAUGCGUGUGGGGCGCAUGCACUGGGGUGAAUACGCAGGGGGCUCAUGUGCAUUGCAUUUUGGGGUUUCAGACAUGCGCACGUGCAUUCAGGACCCGCAUGUUCACUUUGGCCACUCAGCCUGGAAAAGGUUAUUUAUCACUGCUAUAUACUGUAUUUAAAAAGUAGGAUUUAUUUUUUAAUAAUGACUCCUGAUAGUAUAUGUGUCACUUAUUUAAAAACAUUAUUUAUAGGUGAUUUAUAUAUUACUUUGAUAUCACAUAAAACUAGUCAAAUAUUAAGCAAAAAUCAAAACCACAAUAUUUUACAACAGUACAGUAUUUUACUUGUAAUUUUAAAUUUUUAAGAUAUUUUCUUUGCUAUUCCCAUUUUUCCUGUUUUCUCUGUUAUUUUUUUUAUUUUGUUUUAGUUUUUAUUUUAUACUUUACUUUUUAGGUAGGUAGGUUUCUUAAUAAAAUUUAAAUGAAAUGAAAUGCAUUAACUUUGUGAACAAUUAUUAUGGUAUACUUUUACUGUCAGUUGUAUUGGUUGAGAAAUUCAAUAAUUUUUAUGUUAUCUAAUUUCUUUGUUUUUUAAAAAAAACUUAAGCAUUAUCUCAGCUUCUUGGCAUAUUUAUGCACUUUGAAAAGCAAAAUAAUAGAGGAAUAAAAUUCAUUUUAAAUCAUGCCCUCAAUUAAUGAAGCCAAUCAAUAUAGAAGAUUGCAUUCUUUACAAGUAAAAUACUCAAUACUGCAUAUGGCAGCCAGAACUACAUAAACCAAUAAAUAUUUGUUCCCUUGUUUACACCCUGAUUUUUAAAAUUCUGCACUAGAAAACCUAACCUCAGCAAAUGUUUAAUCUAUCAUGAAUUUUGGCUUCUGUCCAAAAUGUAACAUUUUGCCUUGCCUGAAGUGAUUCAGUCAAGUUGUUGUAUUUGAAUAUGGAGUUACAAGCAUUGCUUGCAUUUAAAAAGACACCCUUAUUGUAUUUUGCUGUAUUUAUAGAAUAAGAAGAAAUAAGAAUACUGACUCAUGUAAACGCACUGGAAAACAUGAGCUCAUGCUUCUGAACUCCCAUUUUAAUUACCUUGCUAAUUUGUGUUUAAAUGGUGUAAUUCAUCCUAUCAGAAUAGCCACCCAUUAAGAUCAUUUUUAGAGCAGCUGCCAGAGCAAGCCCACUCCUGUUACUCUUCUACCAGCUGGGCUCUCGUUGCCCCCUCAUGGUGUGGCAGAAGAUAAGCUGCAUAAAGGGGUGUUAUGAAAGCUGCUAGGCUUUGAAAUUGAGACAAGGCAUUCAAUAUCAAAGACACAUUACAAGUCAGGGGACAGACAGACAGCUUAUCCCUACCUGUUGUUCGACAAACUGAAGUGAAAAUAAAUAAGCGGGUUAAAAAAAAAACCACACCACAAAUUCUGUUGCUAUUAUACUUAUAUAGAUAGUUCUUCAACUUAUGAAUACAACUGAGGCCAAAAUUUCCAUUGCUAAGCAAGCUAGUUGUUAAGUGAGUUUUGCCCCAGUUUAUGGCUUUCUUGCCACAGUUGUUAAGUGAAUCAUCACACUUGAUAAGUUAGUGACCUAGUUGUUAAAGUGAAUCUGGCUUCCCCAUUGACUUUGCUUGCCAGAAGGUCGCAAAAGGAAAUCACGUGAUCCUGAGAUACUGCAACCAUCAUAAAUAUAUGCCAGUUGCCAGGCAUCUGAAUUUCGAUCAUCUGACAUGGGGAUGCUGCAAUGUACAUAAGUGUGAAAAAUGGUGACAAGUCACUUUUUUCAGUCUCAUUGUAACUUCAAACAGUCACUAAACGAAUGGUAAUGUCGAGGACUAUCUGUACGUUAGCAGAAUUAUUUGACAAACUUUCUCAAGAAAUAAAGAUCCAUUUAAGUUACCCUGGAUAUAGUAUAAUUAACAUUAUAGUAACAAAGAUCCAGCCUUGAGUGAAAAGUUGAAAGUGUUGUGACCCAGGCCCAAGUAGGUAGUAAUAAACUUAGUCCGUGGAAAAACAAACUUUAUUCGAACAGCUGGGAAUUACUUCAUUCCCAGUAUCGUUCAACUCAAAGUAAAACAAAUGCCUCCCACACAAAUUCCUUAGUUAUCUAACAAACCUUAGUCCAAUUAGGCAAAUUGCCAAAGGCCCUUCCUGGCAAACGUCCAGAAGCCACAAAAACAAAGACGUACAUGAAACAGAAGAUGGAGCAGAAGACGCAGCUACAACAUUGUUUUCCAGCAAAGCUGAAACACCAGUGCUGGUCUGUUUUAAGCCUUAUGGGAGGAGCCAAGCAUCUCUUGGCCCUACUCCCGAGUUGUCCUCUCUGCUCCUCCUGUUUCUCUGCCUCACUACUAUCAAUCUCUGGAGGCUCUGGAGUCCGCACCUCACUUCCUGAUGGCCCUGGCCUCACCUCAGCCUCAUUGUUGUCCGACUCCGUUGCCAGCUCCGUAGGACCACAACAGAAAAUUUUAAACUCUAGAAACGCUUUAUACCAGGGAUGUCAAACUGGCAGCUCACGGGCCAGAUGCGUCACACACAGGCCACACCCAGCCAAGCUCCGUGAAAGGAAUAACGUCGUGAAAUGUCACAUGACAGCAUUAUGACACUGUGAGUUUGACACCCAUGCUCUAUGCCAUACCUCCAAUGCCUGCCUUGCUAGGAGCCUUAGUAGUUAUUGCUGCCACUACCUGUAUUUCAAAGAGAUGCCUUAUUUAGGGUCCCUCUCCCUAUCCCUGGCAUACAAUAAAUAGAAGUCUCAUUAUCUGCAAAUAAAACAAACAAAAAAGAUAAACCUUUAGGCUACUCCCUCAUCUUGUACCUUUCAGAUGGGUGACUAGGGAAAUCAGCCACUCUUCCUUACCUCCUGGGCCUGAAAACAAUUUACACAAAAUUCCAAAAGAUUAGCUUAUAUAGAGACAAAUAAUUAAAACUAAAAGUCAAGAAGUUAAACUUUAGCUAACUUUUUCCUAUUUUUUUAGAGACCAAACAGGUCUUGAAAGGGAAAUUAUCUCUCUGCCAAUCUGUUACCUGGAAAAUAACUUUGCCCUAAAACUUCCAAUGUUCAUCAGAGGUUGGAGAAGAACCAUGGCUCACUCUUUCUCCCCCACCUUGGUGCACUAUUUCUUUUUUUCCCCACAGAAUUCUUCAGUUUUUUUGAAGGCAAAACUUGUUCAUCUCUAGCAAAAAAAAAAAAUUAUCAGACCAUACACAACCCAAGCAUUCAACUGUUCCUCUUGCAGUUGUAGGAUAUGUGAAUGAGAUGAAUGAAUGUGGAUUGAAACUAAGAAGUGAGAGGCUGUCAGCGUAUGUGAACAGUGGUGGGAUUCAGCCAGUUCCCACCACUUCGGGAGAACCGGUUGUUAAAUUUCUGAGCAGUUUGGAGAACUGGUUGUUGGAAGAAAUCAUUAGGGCAGAGAACCGAUUGUUAAAUUACUUGAAUCCCACCACUGUAUGUGAGGUAGUAGCAGCUUGCCUGCUCAUUCAUUAUAAGUACCGUAAAUUAUUAAGUUACCCUUUCUGUUAUGAAUGUCAGGUACAAGAAAUCAGGAAGCAACCAAUGAAUACAGGUAUAUUGCUUGCUAGCACUCUCUAAAAGUAUUUGAAUUAACAAUGGUCAAAGCAAAUUGGCAGUAGAUAAGAGUCAACAGAAUUCAAGGUAGGCUAGACUUAAGAUCUCUUACAGGCACAAGGGACUUGAGACUGAUGAAGCACUUGACUCUUCUCUUGGGCUCAGACUGGUCAUCUCUUACAAUAUACUUAUAUUCACCCAAGGACACACUUCUGGAGGAAUUUUAGGAACUUAGUAAUAAUUCAGGUGAAUGAUUUCCUUAUGUUCUCUUCCUUUUCUCCAUACAAUAAAUAAUAAUUGCGGCGAUUCAGAUGAGGCGUCUGAGGGUGGUCUUGGUGAUAUUUUUUGGGAUGAGUUUGACCCUGUGGCUCCCGAGGACAUGGACAGGUUGCUGGGUAGGCUGAAUGCCACCACGUGUUUACUGGACCCGUGCCCCUCCUGGUUGGUGCUGGCCACUCAGGAGGUGACACGAGGCUGGCUCC